UACGUAGGGUGCAAGCGUUGUCCGGAAUUAUUGGGCGUAAAGGGCGCGUAGGCGGCCUGCUAAGUCGAACGUGAAAUCCCCGGGCUCAACCCGGGAACUGCGUCCGAUACUGGUUGGCUUGAAUCCGGGAGAGGGAUGUGGAAUUCCAGGUGUAGCGGUGAAAUGCGUAGAUAUCGGGAGGAACACCGGUGGCGAAGGCGGAUCUCUGGGCCUGUCCUGACGCUCAGGCGCGAAAGCUAGGGGAGCAAACAGG
rnacentral:rRNA from 1 species